rnacentral:rRNA from 1 species
UGGGUAACCUGCCUCAAAGAGGGGAAUAGCCUCCCGAAAGGGAGAUUAAUACCGCAUAAUAUGUUUAAGUCGCAUGACUUUAACAUCAAAGGAUUUUCUUUUAGAAAUUCCACUUUGAGAUGGACCCGCGGCGCAUUAGCUAGUUGGUGAGGUAACGGCUCACCAAGGCAACGAUGCGUAGCCGACCUGAGAGGGUNAUCGGCCACAUUGGAACUGAGACACGGUCAAGCUCCCGUAGGGAGG